rnacentral:rRNA from 1 species
AUUGAACGCUGGCGGCAUGCCUUACACAUGCAAGUCGAACGGCAGCGCGGGGCAACCUGGCGGCGAGUGGCGAACGGGUGAGUAAUAUAUCGGAACGUACCCUGGAGUGGGGGAUAACGUAGCGAAAGUUACGCUAAUACCGCAUACGAUCUAAGGAUGAAAGUGGGGGAUCGCAAGACCUCAUGCUCCUGGAGCGGCCGAUAUCUGAUUAGCUAGUUGGUGGGGUAAAGGCCUACCAAGGCAUCGAUCAGUAGCUGGUCUGAGAGGACGACCAGCCACACUGGAACUGAGACACGGUCCAGACUCCUACGGGAGGCAGCAGUGGGGAAUUUUGGACAAUGGGCGAAAGCCUGAUCCAGCAAUGCCGCGUGAGUGAAGAAGGCCUUCGGGUUGUAAAGCUCUUUUGUCAGGGAAGAAACGGUGAGGGCUAAUAUCCCUUGCUAAUGACGGUACCUGA